AGAGUUUGAUCAUGGCUCAGAGCGAACGCUGGCGGCGUACUUAACACAUGCAAGUCGAACGGGGAUCAUCGGUGUAGCAAUACAUCGGCGGUCCUAGUGGCGCACGGGUGAGUAACACGUGGGUAACCUGCCCUUGAGUUCGGGAUACCCCCUCGAAAGGGGGGCUAAUACCGGAUACGUUCCUCGGAUCGACAGGUCUGGGGAGGAAAGGUGGCGCAAGCUGCCGCUCUUGGAGGGGCUCGCGGCCUAUCAGCUAGUUGGCGGGGUAACGGCCCACCAAGGCUAUGACGGGUAGCUGGUCUGAGAGGACGACCAGCCACACGGGGACUGAGACACGGCCCCGACUCCUACGGGAGGCAGCAGUGGGGAAUUUUCCGCAAUGGGCGAAAGCCUGACGGAGUGACGCCGCGUGUGGGACGAAGGCCUUCGGGUCGUAAACCACUGUCAGUGGGAAAGAAGGGUGUCGACGCUAAUACCGUCGGCAUCUGACGGUACCUGCAGAGGAAGCCCCGGCCAACUCUGUGCCAGCAGCCGCGGUAAGACAGAGGGGGCAAGCGUUGCUCGGAAUUACUGGGCGUAAAGGGCGCGUAGGCGGGAUGGCAAGUCGGUCGUGAAAUCCUUCGGCUCAACCGAAGAACGUCGAUCGAUACUGCUGUUCUUGAGGAUUGCAGAGGAGACUGGAAUUCCCGGUGUAGCGGUGAAAUGUGUAGAGAUCGGGAGGAACACCGGUGGCGAAGGCGGGUCUCUGGGCAAUUCCUGACGCUGAGGCGCGAAAGCGUGGGGAGCAAACGGGAUUAGAUACCCUAGUAGUCC
rnacentral:rRNA from 1 species